UACGGGGGAGCAAGCGUUGUUCGGAUUUACUGGGCGUAAAGGGCGCGUAGGCGGCGCAACAAGUCACUUGUGAAAUCUCCGGGCUUAACCCGGAGCGGUCAAGUGAUACUGUCGUGCUAGAGUGCGGAAGGGGCUACUGGAAUUCUCGGUGUAGCGGUGAAAUGCGCAGAUAUCAGGAGGAACACCAAUUGCGAAGGCAGCUCGCUGGGACGUAACUGACGCU
rnacentral:rRNA from 1 species